GGCCGCCGAUUGAGGCCCGUAGAUCCGCCGAUUAUUUUUUUUUCUGUCAGUAAAAUGGCUAAAAAUUACCCGUUUUCCUUCGAUUUCCUUACUUUAAGAAACAUCAGUAUUGCUUGAACCUGGAAGCAAUUUUAUGCAAAAACAAUCUGAGAUUGCUUUUUGGGUUGAGCAAGGGCUACGUCUUGAAUACCGUACUUUGACCUAUAAUUAUUAACAUUAAAUACAAUGUGACCGCGGAUUUUUUUCUUAAUAAAAUCGGUGGCCGUAAAAAUUACCCGUUUUUCUUCGAUUUCCUUUCUUUAAGAAACAUCAGUAUUGCUGGAUCCUGGAAGCAAUUUUUAUGCAAACAAUUAUUAUCUGUAUUUAAAGAUAUUUUUGUAAGAAAUCAAACUGGUAAGUUAAAAAAAACAUAUAAAGCAAGAUCAUAGAACGCAAGAUAUUUUUUUUUGACGAGAAC
rnacentral:lncRNA from 1 species